rnacentral:rRNA from 1 species
CAGGGGGGGCAAGCGUUGUUCGGAAUUACUGGGCGUAAAGGGCCAGUAGGCGGCCAACUAAGUCACACGUGAAAUCCCCAGGCUUAACCUGGGAACUGCGUGUGAUACUGGAUGGCUUGAAUUCGGGAGAGGGAUGCGGAAUUCCAGGUGUAGCGGUGAAAUGCGUAGAUAUCUGGAGGAACACCGGUGGCGAAGGCGGCAUCCUGGACCGACAUUGACGCUGAACGGCGAAAGCUAGGGGAGCAAACGGGAUUAGAUACCCCGGUAGUCCUAGCCCUAAACGAUGAAUGCUUGGUGUGGCGGGUAUCGAUCCCUGCCGUGCCGAAGCUAACGCAUUAAGCAUUCCGCCUGGGGAUACGGUCGCAAGGCUG